rnacentral:rRNA from 1 species
UACGUAGGGUGCAAGCGUUGUCCGGAAUUAUUGGGCGUAAAGAGCUCGUAGGCGGUUUGUCGCGUCGAAUGUGAAAACCCGGGGCUCAACCCCGGGCCUGCAUUCGAUACGGGCAGACUAGAGUUCGGUAGGGGAGUCUGGAAUUCCUGGUGUAGCGGUGAAAUGCGCAGAUAUCAGGAGGAACACCGGUGGCGAAGGCGGGACUCUGGGCCGAUACUGACGCUGAGGAGCGAAAGCAUGGGGAGCAAACAGG